AACCCUGAGAGAGGCCAAACACAACAAUCACAAAAACUACAUGCAGGCCAAAAAAGUGGGACAGUAGAUCCUCUCUGAAAGAUAAUACUGGCUAUAUAGCAGUAUUUUAAGUAUGUAUUUAAUGCCCAAAAUGUUGCAUUUCCUGGCUCGAUUUAACAUAUAUGAAUGCACUAUACUGUACAGGAAUUCCUGAUUUACACUUUUACCAUAAGGGUUGUAAAAAUCGACUAAUCUAUAUGAAAGAGGCAAUUCAGCUGCAUAGAUUUUGGAGUACUGUAAUCGACUAAAAUAAUUUCCAAUAAAUUUGCAUAUCAGACGAUAAAAUACUUUUUAUAGUUAUAAGUUCCAUAGAUAUCCUACAGAUCAACAAUCCACUCCUGGACAGAGCAGCAAGGUCUGUUUCGAUGCUAAGGUGAGGCGCCAUCAUAAAUGCUCAAGCUGUUGGCUAACGCUACAAUGAGCGAGAGAUUAUUGGAUGCUCCUCACUCCAAAUCAGGCAUUUAGAAACUUCACGGAAGACAGGCAGCACUCCUGACAGAAAGUGUAGGACAUAAAUGAAAUACUUCGGCAACAAGAUAAACAUGGCAAAUCACAUGAAACGGUGACGUCAACGUGGCUCUAAGCAGUAAGAAAUCAGCACUGAGUUCGCCGGUUCCAUCUCCGUAUCAUCCGGUUAUCGAUCUGUUAAUGGCUGUAAAGGAUCUGGAGAGAUGAGCAGUUUAUCUGUAAAGAGCCUACGGAGUAGCGAUGGGCAGAUCGAUACUGAGACAUCGGGUUUUAAUUUGCAGAAUUGACUGUAAUGUUCAAGUAUAUUUCCCCCCUGGGCAGUAUAAAUGUUUAUAUAAUUAUCGGGAGCAGGACAUAGACUAUUACCGGGCAUUACCGCCCGGGGGCAGUGGAGAAAAGCCCAGACACCGUGGAACAAUUGAAUCUUUCCCCUGCACGUUUUAUCGUCGGUGUUGGGACGACAUGUCAUUUUGCUGUCGGUGAUACUAACCUUGGACCUAAACUGCGGAGUUGCGGAAGAUAUGGCUCGUCCCGGUGCGUGAACCACCGAGGUCCGUGAUACCAGGAAGGAGUCGCCUCACAAGCGCGCGCAUCCCCGUGCCGGUGCACGCGCGUUCCCACCGUUUUUCUCGAUCUCGUUUGUCCACGGUGGCCAGCAUCUGGGCCUCGCUUUCAUCCGUGGGGAUCCGCUGGUACCGGGCCUGCUCAGCUCCCGUCAUGUUACCCGUGCGGCGGCGCUCCUGUAGGUCGUAGCCACGACU